rnacentral:tRNA from 1 species
UAGAAAAGCGGGAAUCGAACCCACACUAAAGAGAUCAAAACUCUUUGUAACCCCAUAUU